rnacentral:rRNA from 1 species
UGGAUCCAGACUUUGAUCAUGGCUCAGGACGAACGCUGGCGGCGCGCCUAACACAUGCAAGUCGAACGAGAGAUGAAGAGCUUGCUCUUCAAAUCGAGUGGCGAACGUGUGAGUAACGCGUGAGGAACCUGCCUCAAAGAGGGGGACAACAGUUGGAAACGACUGCUAAUACCGCAUAAGCCCACGGCUCGGCAUCGAGCAGAGGGAAAAGGAGCAAUCCGCUUUGAGAUGGCCUCGCGUCCGAUUAGCUAGUUGGUGAGGUAAUGGCCCACCAAGGCGACGAUCGGUAGCCGGACUGAGAGGUUGAACGGCCACAUUGGGACUGAGACACGGCCCAGACUCCUACGGGAGGCAGCAGUGGGGAAUAUUGCACAAUGGGGGAAACCCUGAUGCAGCGACGCCGCGUGGAGGAAGAAGGUCUUCGGAUUGUAAACUCCUGUUGUUGAGGAAGAUAAUGACGGUACUCAACAAGGAAGUGACGGCUAACUACGUGCCAGCAGCCGCGGUAAAACGUAGGUCACAAGCGUUGUCCGGAAUUACUGGGUGUAAAGGGAGCGCAGGCGGGAGAACAAGUUGGAAGUGAAAUCCAUGGGCUCAACCCAUGAACUGCUUUCAAAACUGUUUUUCUUGAGUAGUGCAGAGGUAGGCGGAAUUCCCGAUGUAGCGGUGGAAUGCGUAGAUAUCGGGAGGAACACCAGUGGCGAAGGCGGCCUACUGGGCACCAACUGACGCUGAGGCUCGAAAGUGUGGGUAGCAAACAGGAUUAGAUACCCUGGUAGUCCACACCGUAAACGAUGAUUACUAGGUGUUGGAGGAUUGACCCCUUCAGUGCCGCAGUUAACACAAUAAGUAAUCCACCUGGGGAGUACGACCGCAAGGUUGCAACUCAAAUGAAUUGACGGA